rnacentral:rRNA from 1 species
UACGAAGGGUGCAAGCGUUACUCGGGAUUACUGGGCGUAAAGGGUGCGUAGGUGGUCGUUUAAGUCCGUUGUGAAAUCCCUGGGCUCAACCUGGGAAUGGCAGUGGAUACUGGACGGCUAGAAUGCGGUAGAGGGUAGUGGAAUUCCCGGUGUAGCAGUGAAAUGCGUAGAGAUCGGGAGGAACACCAGUGGCGAAGGCGGCUACCUGGACCAGCACUGACACUGAAGCACGAAAGCGUGGGGAGCAAACAGG